AUUGAACGCUGGCGGCAGGCUUAACACAUGCAAGUCGAGCGAGCGGCGGACGGGUGAGUAAUGUCUGGGAAUCUGCCUGAUAGAGGGGGAUAACUACUGGAAACGGUAGCUAAUACCGCAUACCAUCAGAUGUACCCAGAUGGGAUUAGCUAGUAGGUGGGGUAAUGGCUCACCUAGGCGACGAUCCCUAGCUGGUCUGAGAGGAUGACCAGCAACACUGGAACUGAGAAACGGUCCAGAUUCGUACGGGAGGCAACAGUGGGGAAUAGUGGACAAUGGGCGCAAGCCUGAGGCAGCCAUGCCGCGUGUAUGAAGAAGGCCUUCGGGUUGUAAAGUACUUUCAGCGGGGAGGCGUUACUCGCAGAAGAAGCACCGGCUAACUCCGUGCCAGCAGCCGCGGUAAUUC
rnacentral:rRNA from 1 species